GAAUUCAACUCCUACGGGAGGCAGCAGUGGGGAAUAUUGCACAAUGGGCGAAAGCCUGAUGCAGCGACGCCGCGUGAGGGAUGAAGGCCUUCGGGUUGUAAACCUCUUUCAGUAGGGAAGAAGCGCAAGUGACGGUACCUACAGAAGAAGCACCGGCUAACUACGUGCCAGCAGCCGCGGUAAUACGUAGGGUGCGAGCGUUGUCCGGAAUUAUUGGGCGUAAAGAGCUUGUAGGCGGUUUGUCGCGUCUGCCGUGAAAAUCCGGGGCUCAACUCCGGACUUGCGGUGGGUACGGGCAGACUAGAGUGUGGUAUGGGAGACUGGAAUUCCUGGUGUAGCGGUGAAAUGCGCAGAUAUCAGGAGGAACACCGAUGGCGAAGGCAGGUCUCUGGGCCACUACUGACGCUGAGAGACGAAAGCUAGGGGAGCGAAUGGGAUUAGAAACCCUAGUAGUCCAGGCGUU
rnacentral:rRNA from 1 species